rnacentral:misc_RNA from 1 species
UGCUGGCUUCCUUCAGUGGAUGGUCUGCUCCCUUUAAAUGCAUUAGUGGGAUCUCUUGUGGACCGUCACUUGGUGUGAUAAUUAUCUAUGCCAUUUGACUGUGAAGCAAAAUUAUGGGAACCUGCUUAUAACCGUCUCGCAAGGGACAAUUUAAUUGACUAUUUGACCUCAAAUCAGGUAGGACUACCCGCUGAACUUAA